rnacentral:lncRNA from 1 species
GUGCCAUCUCUAACUGGAUGACGGCACACAUCAUUUCCCUUUAAUGUUGUAUGUUGUACAGCUGAAAAUGACGUGGUGGUAAAAUAUUUGCUUAUUUUCUCUCAUUUUUGAUUAGUUCAACUUUUUUUUUUUUUUUUUUUUUUUUUUUUGUGUGUGUGUGUGUGUUUGUGUGUGUGUGUGCACUCCAGUCAGUUGCACUAGUAGUUCUGUACUGUAAUCCUGAUUGAUACUACGUGUUGACUAGAAUAGAAGUUCUGAGAAAGUAUACAACAAAUAUAAGCAAGUUAUAUAUGCUCUUGAGACAGUCUAUGCUGUUCGAUUUUGGCUGAGAAUCUGGCCGUGAGCCACUGUACAGCUUUUGAGUUAUAUUACAAUUCUAUUUUAGACCCCUAGGAAAUAUACGGCAUAUUAUGUGUAUUAUCCAUUUGCAAGGUUACUAUUUUCCUUGAGCUGGCUGUUUGUGUCUGAUGUGAAGAUUUUUAAUCUUACAACAUCAGUGAAGAUGUGAGAAUUAUGUUCCCACUUUUCUAUUGUAUACUUUAGAAGUUACCAUCUGGAAGAGAAAGAAGCUGAAGUUCACGGACAAGUCCUUUACCAGACGUGAUGAGGGAGGGGGUGAGAAAAGUGGCUUGAAGUUAGUGUUCUGCUUCCAAAGCUGAAAGCCAAACCUACUCCUGUCAUGUCUUAGAACAGCCUGGGGGAUGCACUAAACAAUUCUGGCUUUGUGCCUGCUAAUGAUUCAUGUAAGCAUUCUUAUCACAAAGGGACUUCAGCAGAAGCCAAAGAUCAGACCUUAUUUGUGUAUCUGUGUGAGUGAUAGCAGAAGGGAACGAAGCAAUUCUUCAUCUUCUUUUUCUAUAGCAAAACUGACUGCGGUUGCUCUAAAACACCAGAAACCACCAGAUGGACAACACAAUCUGCUAAGCCACUAAGGGGUUUCAAAUAGAACUAUCCCUCUGUCAAACUGUCCAGACACUUUGGUGUACCUGCCCAGGACCUGGUGAAGAAUGGGCCCUAUCUACACUAAAGGUAAAGGUAAGAAUAUCAAAUGUUCCCUGUCAAAGCAGACCAAGAAAGGAUUCCUUCUUGAGCCCAGAUC